CUAGUACGGCGAGUGAACCGGGAAGAGCUCAAAUUUGAAAUCUGGCGUCCUCAGGGCGUCCGAGUUGUAAUCUAUAGAGGCGUUUUCCGUGCCGGACCGUGUCCAAGUCCCUUGGAACAGGGUAUCAAAGAGGGUGACAAUCCCGUACUUGACACGACUACCGGUGCUCUGUGAUACGUCUUCUACGAGUCGAGUUGUUUGGGAAUGCAGCUCAAAAUGGGUGGUGAGUUCCAUCUAAAGCUAAAUAUUGGCGAGAGACCGAUAGCGAACAAGUACCGUGAGGGAAAGAUGAAAAGCACUUUGGAAAGAGAGUUAAACAGUACGUGAAAUUGUUGAAAGGGAAACGAUUGAAGUCAGUCGUGACCGAGAGGCUCAGCCGGCUCUGCCGGUGUAUUCCCCUCGGUCGGGUCAACAUCAGUUUUGUCCGGUGGAUAAGGGCGGCAGGAAUGUGGCACCCUCGGGUGUGUUAUAGCCUGCUGUCGCAUACACCGGGUGAGACUGAGGAACGCAGCUCGCCUUUAUGGCCGGGGCCCGCCCACGUACGAGCUUAGGAUGUUGACGUAAUGGCUUUAAACGACCCGUCU
rnacentral:rRNA from 1 species